rnacentral:rRNA from 1 species
CUCGUAGGCGGUUCGUCGCGUCCGGUGUGAAAGUCCAUCGCUUAACGGUGGAUCCGCGCCGGGUACGGGCGGGCUUGAGUGCGGUAGGGGAGACUGGAAUUCCCGGUGUAACGGUGGAAUGUGUAGAUAUCGGGAAGAACACCAAUGGCGAAGGCAGGUCUCUGGGCCGUUACUGACGCUGAGGAGCGAAAGCGUGGGGAGCGAACAG